UGAAACAUGAUGGAAAAUGAGAGGGAAAAAGAGAAUUGAUAUGUCAUGAAUUAAAACAUGAAUAUUGGUUUGAGAGAAGAAAAAUUAGAAAAUAUAAAAAAAUUACUAAAUACACAAUAUUCAUUUAAGAUAUGGGCUUAACCAAGUUGGCUAGAUUGCAGAUGUUCUAGCUUCCCAUUCUGCACUCUAGUUCGAAUCCCCCUUUUCAUAAUUUAAAUUAAAUUAAAAUAAAAUGUCGUUUGUAUAUAAAAAAAAAAAAAACAACAUGCAUCUAAACCUUGAUGCAUUUGUUGGUGCCUAAUUAUUGAGGAUAGAAAAAGC
rnacentral:lncRNA from 1 species